rnacentral:rRNA from 2 species
AACCUGCCUGUAAGACUGGGAUAACUUCCGGAAACCCGGAGCUAAUACCGGAUAGUUCCUUGAACCGCAUGGUUCAAGGAUGAAAGACGGUUUCGGCUGUCACUUACAGAUGGACCCGCGGCGCAUUAGCUAGUUGGUGAGGUAACGGCUCACCAAGGCGACGAUGCGUAGCCGACCUGAGAGGGUGAUCGGCCACACUGGGACUGAGACACGGCCCAGACUCCUACGGGAGGCAGCAGUAGGGAAUCUUCCGCAAUGGACGAAAGUCUGACGGAGCAACGCCGCGUGAGUGAUGAAGGUUUUCGGAUCGUAAAGCUCUGUUGUUAGGGAAGAACAAGUGCAAGAGUAACUGCUUGCACCUUGACGGUACCUAACCAGAAAGCCACGGCUAACUACGUGCCAGCAGCCGCGGUAAUACGUAGGUGGCAAGCGUUGUCCGGAAUUAUUGGGCGUAAAGGGCUCGCAGGCGGUUUCUUAAGUCUGAUGUGAAAGCCCCCGGCUCAACCGGGGAGGGUCAUUGGAAACUGGGAAACUUGAGUGCAGAAGAGGAGAGUGGAAUUCCACGUGUAGCGGUGAAAUGCGUAGAGAUGUGGAGGAACACCAGUGGCGAAGGCGACUCUCUGGUCUGUAACUGACGCUGAGGAGCGAAAGCGUGGGGAGCGAACAGGAUUAGAUACC